rnacentral:rRNA from 1 species
CCUACGGGAGGCAGCAGUGAGGAAUAUUGGUCAAUGAACGCAAGUCUGAACCAGCCAUGCCGCGUGCAGGAAGACGGCUCUAUGAGUUGUAAACUGCUUUUGUACGAGGGUAAACGCAGAUACGCGUAUCUGUGUGAAAGUAUCGUACGAAUAAAGAUCGGCAAAAUCCGGGCCAGCAGACGAGGUAAUACGGAGGAUUCAAGCGUUAUCCGGAUUUAUUGGGUUUAAAGGGACCGUAGGCGGUCGUGUAAGUUAGAGGUGAAAUCCCGAGGCCCAACUUCGGAAUUGCCUUUGAUACUGUUCGGCUAGAGAGUAGUUGCGGUAGGCGGAAUGUAUGGUGUAGCGGUGAAAUGCUUAGAGAUCAUACAGAACACCGAUUGCGAAGGCAGCUUACCAGGCUACUUCUGACGUUGAGGCACGAAAGCGUGGGGAGCAAACAGGAUUAGAUACCCGAGUAGUC